ensembl:lncRNA
AGCAUUACAGUAUAUACAGUAAUAACAAUUGCUUGCAGUACAUCUCUUUCUAUAUACUAGAAACAGGGUUUACUGUAUUUUAGGCCCUUGUAUAUGUAUGUGUGUGAGUGGGGGAGGCAUGCAGGCCCAAACAACAUUGCCCCCUGAGGGUGCAUUCUCUCCUCGUCCUCUUCCUCUUCCUCUCUCUGUCCCCUUUCUGUAUUUUUCUCUCUCUUUCUUGCACUGAUACUAUUGAGUCAUAGAUUAGGAAUGGAGAGGCAGAAUAACAGAGAGAGAAAAUUUAGUAGUGAGGUGAAAAGGAAUGAAUGAAUGUGAAAGUUUGAGAAUGUUUACCACUUAAUUUUGUUUACAGUUGUGUCCUUGGUACUGCUCAGAAGAAAAUCACUCAAGACCAAGGAUACUGAAACUAAAUAUUCCUGUAUGGGGUGACAAAAUAGAAGAGUUUAAGAGCUGACUAUAGUAAAAACCCAUAUUUAUUAUUAUUCUACAAAACGUAGAUUGACCUGUUGUUUUAGUCAUAUCGUCCUUGAACGAUCUCUUGGAAAUAACUGCACACUGUUCUGUUAUGUGAGACCAUGUAAACACCAUUACCAGCACUUGUCCUUCAGAACAAGCCCACACCUGUCCAGGUGAACCGAGAGAGAGGGGCAGAGGUUUAUGCUGAUAUAUGUGCUAAUAUAUUGCGUGUCCACAUAUGCUGCAAAUGUUCCCAUCAAUCUUUCCUCCCCUCGGAGUGCACAUUUUAUCAAUCUCUUUUUCUCUCCUGAGGAUGGUUUAUUGGUGACAUGUUUUACUCAGCAUGUUCUAUGAUAAGGACAGAUGGGAACAGGGGUCAGGUGUGCAUAGUGACUUUAUCUGAGCUAUUUUGAUUUUUUGAUGCUUGCAUUUGAAAGAAAAAAAAUGUGUAUAUAUAUACAGUACAGACCAAAAGUUUGGAAACAUUACUAUUUUUAAUGUUUUUGAAAGAAGUUUCUUCUGCUCAUCAAGCCUGCAUUUAUUUGAUCAAAAAUACAGAAAAAACAGUAAUAUUGUGAAAUAUUAUAACAACUUAAAAUAAUAGUUUUCUAUUUGAAUAUACUUUAAAAAAAUAAUUUAUUCCUGUGAUGCAAAGCUGAAUUUUCAGCAUCAUUACUCCAGCCUUCAGUGUCACAUG